rnacentral:rRNA from 1 species
AGCUUGUUGGUGGGGUGAUGGCCUACCAAGGCGACGACGGGUAGCCGGCCUGAGAGGGCGACCGGCCACACUGGGACUGAGACACGGCCCAGACUCCUACGGGAGGCAGCAGUGGGGAAUAUUGCACAAUGGGCGAAAGCCUGAUGCAGCGACGCCGCGUGAGGGAUGACGGCCUUCGGGUUGUAAACCUCUUUCAGCAGGGAAGAAGCGAGAGUGACGGUACCUGCAGAAGAAGCGCCGGCUAACUACGUGCCAGCAGCCGCGGUAAUACGUAGGGCGCAAGCGUUGUCCGGAAUUAUUGGGCGUAAAGAGCUCGUAGGCGGCUUGUCGCGUCGGAUGUGAAAGCCCGGGGCUUAACCCCGGGUCUGCAUUCGAUACGGGCAGGCUAGAGUUCGGUAGGGGAGAUCGGAAUUCCUGGUGUAGCGGUGAAAUGCGCAGAUAUCAGGAGGAACACCGGUGGCGAAGGCGGAUCUCUGGGCCGAUACUGACGCUGAGGAGCGAAAGCGUGGGGAGCGAACAGGAUUAGAUACCCUGGUAGUCCACGCCGUAAACGUUGGGAACUAGGUGUGGGCGACAUUCCACGUCGUCCGUGCCGCAGCUAACGCAUUAAGUUCCCCGCCU